GUCGAGAGUCGGCAAAUGUCAUCAGAAACAACAAAGUCAAAAUACUUUUAACACAAUAUAUAACCGAUCCGUAACAACGGCUGAUUAUAGCCGUACGGGCGAGGGGGGGGAGGCAGUCCCGCCCCCCCCCAGUCAAAAUAAAGUCAUGCAAAUUAUAAACGUAUAAAUUCGGGCAAAAAUUGGGGGAAAUAAAUUUAAAAAGAAGACAGUACAUGCAAUAUGGUAUUUGAAAAUACCAGAAAUAUGUAAAAGUAACGAGGAAUCGACAAAUAGGAAAAUAUAUUUGUCUACUUCCCAACGACAAUUUUGGAAAUUUAGUUACACGGAAAAUUUUAUUCAGUGGGUAAAAGUCGGGUAAAUUUAUUUCUGGCUCCCUGAUUUUUUCCCGCCCGUACGCC